rnacentral:rRNA from 2 species
UACGGAGGAUGCGAGCGUUAUCCGGAUUUAUUGGGUUUAAAGGGUGCGUAGGUUGUGGAUUAAGUCAGCGGUGAAAGUUUGUCGCUUAACGAUAAAAUUGCCGUUGAAACUGGUUUACUUGAGUGUAAUAGAAGUAGGCGGAAUGCGUGGUGUAGCGGUGAAAUGCAUAGAUAUCACGCAGAACUCCGAUAGCGAAGGCAGCUUACUAAGUUAUAACAGACACUGAAGCACGAAAGCGUGGGUAUCAAACAGG